GGGGUGGUAGUUCAGUUGGUUUAGAACGCCGGCCUGUCAAGCCGGAGGUCGCGGGUUCAAGUCCCGUCCAUCCCGCCA
rnacentral:tRNA from 5 species